CCAGGAUAUCUAGUCAGGCUGAACACAUUAUACAAUUUCCAUUUACAUAAUCUUUCAUUCUCCUUUUCCCUCAGUCAGCAUUAUCAAUCACAUACAAACAAGCAAAAUGAUAAUUUAUGCCAAACAGACAACAUACAGCAUCAAUAUCCCGAUCAUUCAAUCCAUAAUCAAUAAAACAGUAAAAUAUGCACACGAAACUAUAAAAUGAAAACAUCGAACCUCAUGC
rnacentral:lncRNA from 1 species